rnacentral:ncRNA from 2 species
GCUUGCUGCUAGGGGAGUAUUACACUGAGAGCUCUGAAUAGAGCGACCCUUGGAACCUGAUCCGGAUUAUGCCGGCGUAGGGAAGCGACCACACACAUAU